rnacentral:lncRNA from 1 species
AUAUUUUAUGGUGCAAUAUGUUUUGAUGAAAGAUUUAAAAUUUGAAGUGUUGUGUUUAUAUGUGUGAAUGAUUACAAUGGAGGUAUACCACAGUAUAUCGGUCUACUUCCACUCUAUCAAGCUAUCGGUGUUAUCUUGUAGGUGACAAAAGAUGAAAAAAUAGCAGGAUGUGCUGCUUUAUUAACAAGUUUACUUCGCACAGGUGCAAGACUGCAGGAUCAUAAACUGUCGUAGAUCGCCUGAAUUGGAUUUAUUCUCUACUUAUUAAUGUGAAGAUUGAGAGACAUAAUUUCUCAAGGAAAAUUAGGAUGAUUUCAUGUUUAAUAAAUUAGGUAAAUAUAUCUUAAAACUAACAAAUUAGUAAUAUUAAAGAUUUAUUUAUUAAAAAACA